rnacentral:lncRNA from 1 species
ACAAAUCAUUAGAUUAAUAAUAAGAAGAAAAUGUAGAGGGGAUUUAACAUUUUCUACAUGGCAUAGAUGACAUGCGCGCCAAACAUUUCAUAAACCAGCUUAGUUCUCGCAAGAUUAAACAUGAGCUAAAGAUGUCACCGUGCUAUCAACAUCUCAGCAAUGGAUAAAGUCUAUUACUCUAGAAUGGAAAACUAUACAAAUAAGGAAUUGGACCUGAGCAGAUCAGUGGCAACAAUAAUUGUUGUAUCGCAAACUUAACAAGCAAAGAGAAAAAGUAUCCACUUUGGAACAACACGCAUCUUCUUUAUGUGCUAAAUUUUUGUGCCAUAUUGAAUAAACACUUCCACGAUAUGCAAACAGUGUUAAAAUUAUAGUAAAAUAUUCUAUACUACAAAAACAUAACUGACAAACUAUAAAAACAUAAAAAGUGAAUAGUUAAGACUACCAAGGUGGAAUACAAACAAGAAUUGCCUUUUAUGACCUCUGGUUAAAAAUAUGAGGUUGAAUCCUAAAGAAUUGAAGGACCAUGUUCGCCUCUAACACUCUUUUGGGACAUGGAUGCAUGGCUUAGUAUUAUAUAUGAAAUAAACACCUAUAUCAUGAAAGUACAGAGAAAAGCUACAGUUCCAUGGCAUAUGGAUGAUCACAUAGAUGUUGGAAUUUGCUGCUCGUUUUUAAAUUGGAAAGAGGGCAACCUUAUGCGGGUCGUCGUCAUCGCCAUCCAUAUUGGGGUACUCGAUGAUGUCCUCAUUGAGCUCGACAGUUCGGGUGUGCGGUACCGCAUUUUCCUCCGUGUCUGCUACACCAAGGACCUUGUUCGAAUCAGCCAACGUUGGGGCACCAAAUUUGGAGCUCCGGGGUGGGAAAGAUGUUGGUUUGGAUGGCUUUGCCCGUCAAUGCCUCCUUGGCUUAUAGAAACCAGUUGUAGCACACUGCCAACAGGAUAAAAAUCAUAAUAUUUGAUAUAUUGGUCAGGCUGCAUCAUAUCAGAUUCAUAACUGAAUCAUAUUUCACUCCUCUAAUAACAGAGAAGCAAACGGGAUAUAAUUAUCACUCAGGAAUAUCUCAUAUAACAAAAGAGUCAACAAAAUACACAAUAUAUCACUGAUAAAAAGGUACAACUUUGAGAUACACAAAAUGCCCAGACAUAAAUUUAAUAGAAGGGACAUAAACAAAAGAAGCUAAUGUUUGCUAGGCUACAUUAGAACCUCAAAGUUAUGCCACACUUCAGAUUUAUGGAUAGGCCACGAUUUAAAGAUCAAGUGGUUGCCAUGUUCAACAACACAAUGGGGGGUCACUGAUUUAAACGUCACGAAUUGAGCAAUAGCAGACAUACCAUAACUGAUGUCAAAACAAAGAACUUGAUGUUUUGCAAUAUUUACCAUGCAUUAGAACAGUUCGUAUGGCUUGCCUUCUCCACAUCGCUACCAAAGUUAUGCCUUCUCCAUGUAUUAAAACAUUCUUUUGGGACAUGGAUGCAUGACUUAGUACUCUAUAUGACAUGGAUGCUUGAAGGUGGCUAAAAUUGGACAACAAAAUUUUCGACACCUCUCGAUACAUCAAUUUCACUCUAACAAAUGUUAGAGAUAGACUGGGCAUUCGUUCAUUCACCAGAAUCAUCACGAUGUUUAUGAAACUCUUACAAAAGCAAACCUUUACAGCCAUCGAACCUGGUAAGCUGACAAGUUGUAAAAUAUGCAGGGUAAAAGAUUACUAAAUCAUUUGUAGUACCUGAUGAAUACCGAAUGCAUAAAAAUAAUGUGCAGUAAGAAUUGCAAAAGGAGGUGAUCUGAAAGUUCGUUUGACAUUACGCACUCACCUUUGCAACGUCAGGUGUGAGUCGGCGAUAUGGCUGUGACAUCCGGCUCUGGAAAUAUGUAUACAUCAGGGUGAUUAUCCUCUCAUUACAUCUAUCAAAAGGGUCAAGUCUUUAGAUACGUGCCUACACACAUGCAAGAGUACAAGCAGUAUAUUUUCCCUAAUGAAAUAUGAAAUACUUACACACAUGAUUCUGCUCCCAAAUUUAUUCUCUAAUGAAUAACUUGAACAGAGGGGGGGAGAGGUCGUCACCUUGCUUGGUAGAAAACAGGGGGAACCAAAUUAAACCCCUUCACACAAGCAACCGGAAGAGCUUGGCAACUGCACAGACUGCACAAAUCAGAUGGCGAGAACAAGGGAGAAGAGAAAGGGAGGAGGGAUUCAUAUCCUGGUCGAGAGGAGGCUCGUGUUCCUGUUCUUGUUGUUGGGGACUUGAGAUCUCCCGCAGCAGGGUUGCCAUAGGUGGAGGUGAAAGAGAGGGGGUCGCCAUGGGUGGAGGUGGGCGAGUGUUUCAGAUGCUCGAGGAGAACUCCAAGGCUGUGGCUGCUGCCGGGUCGGCGGCCAGAUACGAUGACGGAGAAGGAGCUCCUCUACAAGUGCGUGGUUGUGGGGAAGGAGCUCCAUGGCACCGUCGCCGUCCUCUCCCGGCUUCUCCUCCUGCUCAGGCACCUGUUCAAAACGAUAGUUUUUUUAAGGCAGCCAUCCGGGCGUCGGGUGGGCCGCGGCAGUUGGAGAAGGUCGUGGGCACAAGGAGGCUGAUACGGAAGAUUUGUUUUCGUUUUCGUUAACAAAGAUGUUUAGACCAUUGAUGAUAU